rnacentral:lncRNA from 1 species
UCGAAGCAUGUUGCUUCACACAAGAUUUUGACUUAGGCAUAUUUUAGUAGUGUUAGCUAUUUUGGGCUUUUAUAGUUUUGGGUUUUGGCUUAAGGUCCAAGUUAACCUAAGUCUAUAAAUAGAUGGAGUAACUCUUAUUUUUGUAAUGAAGUGAAUAGAGCAUUCAUAACAUUGUAUUCACAGUAUUUUAUAGUUGCAAAGUGAAUAAGAAGUUUUCCACAGUUUGUGGGCAGAGAGAAACUCUGCAGAAUUUUAUUACUCUUCUCUUUCAUCGUUCUUUAUUUUCU